rnacentral:tRNA from 1 species
AAUGCAAGUUUGGAUACGCACCCUAACGGUGCCGGGGCUU